GUUGACUGUUGGGCAAUGUUAUGGAGGCUUAAUAAAAUGUGUACACAGUACAGUGUACACUAUACAACAAUAAACAAUUGUAAACAAUAAUAUUUUCUAAAUAAUCAACAACGAAAUGGUUAAAAGUAUAAGUAUUAAUAAAAAACCAAUAUACCUAAUAAUAAAUUACUACUUGAACAAGUACCAGUAGCAAAUGAUGACAAAAAUAAAAAUAAACAAAGUGCCUCUGAAAAAUGGGAGAUCUGAUAGAAUAAAUGAUCAUGAUAAUCCUAAAAAAUUGAAUAAAUUAGUCAUCAAUAUUUAUAUACCUAAAAAAAACAUUCAUAAAAAAAUAGAUAUUACGUCAAGUACAUAUAAUGGAGUAUCAAUAUAUCAAGUUUAACAACAACAACACAACAACAACACCACCUUUAGCAGCAUCACCAAAUGCUAGUAAAAAAUUGAUACUCAAAAUACCAUUUGAUAAAUAAAAAUUUAGAAAUAAUCAUAGGUAUAUUGUGAGAUCAUAAAUAUCAGAAUAUUUUGGUGUUUCAAAAAUUCUGGGUGAAAAUCAAAUUGAAGAAAGCAAUGCUGUAUAUAUAUAUAUCAAGAUCAAUCAUGUUUUAUUUUCGAAACAACAAGAUAUAACUAUCAACUACCUGAUGCUUUGACAUAUUGUCACAAUAAAAAUGACUUUAUUCCAGGAAAUUUAACUUUUGAUAAAGAUGGUGAAUUAAAAAUUUAUGUUUUCAAAUGGUCUAUACAUGCAUCAUCUAGAAGCAAUAUAUUGUGUGGUGUAUUGAAUUAUUUACCACCAGAAAUGAUUUUCAGUAAUUUACAUGAUGUUGAGUUAUGGAGUGUUAGAGUAUUAUAUGAUGAUAUAGGCAAUCUACCUUGUGUUAUGUUAUGUUACCUAAAAGUUAUGAUAAUACAGAUGAAAAAAUUAUCAAAGCACAAUAUACACAGCGAUUUUAUGUUAGUAAGGGUGCUCGUGAUUUAGUUUCAAAGAUUGAAAACAUUGUGUUGAAUGAUGUACUUGAUUUGAUUUGAUUUCUUGAACAUCAGAAAAAAAUGGGUACAUAAGAACAUGAGAAGCAAAUAAUUUAUUGAUGGUGAAACAAGAAAUUUAUCUAAUAUAGUUGCUGUUGGUAGAUUUCAUCCUGGUUUAUUAGCACUUUCACUUGGUACAACUACCCCACGACAACUAAGCAUUGAAUUCAUACGAAGACGUGGAUUAGAUGCAAAAUUUAUUUUCAUCGAAUAAAGAUUUUUAAAUUAUUUAAAUUAUCAUUUUGUUUUAUUUAAAAUAAUUAUAAAUAUAUUUUUUAUAUUUUGUCAGAACAACAAUUGUAUUUUACCAAAAAAAUUAGUUGCUGCCAGCUAUUAUAAUUGAGACGCUUUAUUAAAUUUCACUGAAUCACAAAAACGUGUUCUAUCAA